UACGUAGGGGGCGAGCGUUUGUCCGGAUUUAUUGGGCGUAAAGAGCUCGUAGGCGGUUUGGUAAGUCGGGUGUGAAAUCUCCACGCUCAACGUGGAGGGGCCACUCGAUACUGCCAUGACUCGAGUCCGGUAGAGGAGUGUGGAAUUCCCGGUGUAGCGGUGAAAUGCGCAGAUAUCGGGAGGAACACCCGUAGCGAAGGCGGCACUCUGGGCCGGAACUGACGCUGAGGCGCGAAAGCGUGGGGAGCGAACAGG
rnacentral:rRNA from 1 species